rnacentral:lncRNA from 1 species
CAUAUAGUGUACGUAUCCUGUAUCACGUUUAAUUUGGCCUCUGCAUCCUACUGAGUGAGGUUGUAAGCCUUGCCAUGAAUAAAAAGUCUGGUCUGGUUUUGAUUCCUCAAGCACUCCAUCGCGUAAUGCUGGGCACUCCCACAUAUGCAGCAUGUAUUGUUGAAGCGAUAGUAGACUCGGUUCCCAUGAUCCUUGCCAUAGUGUUGGCAAAUCCUUCCACGUCCUGUUGUUGGAAUCUAAGGAGGAGUCUGAGUCAUUGGCCUAGGUCUCUUGUUUUGCUGAACAUGUACAGUAGGUUCUGGUCUGCGGUGUGGAAUCGGAUGCCUGAGGUUCUCUACUGCUUGAGGGAAAAUGCAAAGGUUUCUCUCUACUAACUAUGUCUUGGCUAGAACAACCGAGUAAAU